UUUUGUAAUAUGCUGCUUCUUAAUAUUAGUUACAUUUAUAUUGUUAUAUCGCACGUCUAUCAGUCUUGCGAUGAGAUAGGUAAGAGAGCUGUCAAAGUGACAGCCAUAGAUAAGCUAUUUUUAAGAGUACGUUCAUAAACGUCACUCCGCUACAUCAUCCCCUUUUUAAAAGAAAGUUAAAGUUAUACAGCACUACAAUAUAAGUUUGACACAAAAGGGGUACCGUUACAGAAAAUUGCAAGCUGUUACAUAAAAUUACUAUGUGCUACAGUAUAGUAUGUUUUGCUAUAAGGUACUGAUAUAUUUAUAUUAGUGUUACACAGAAUUACAGUUUAAAUAAAUAUUUAUUACAAAGUAACAGAUCUACAUUUCAAUAUUUGAACCUAUCUAAUAUCUUACACUAAUAAACUCUUCAUCCCCUUUUUAAAGGAAUGUCUUCCUAAAUAAUACUGAAUUAUCACAAGGAAUCAUAAAAUGCCCAGUAAUAUUGGGAAUUUUAAUGUACAUACUUCACAUUCGACCGAUGGUGGUAGACCCAACUGUAGAGUCCGGUGAGGCACCUAGCCCAGCUAAGGAGCCCUGAUAUGAAGCGAGGUUCUGUCAUAAAUAACAUUAUUCUUAUCAGCUAUAGUAUAUGCUCUAUUACCAUUAUAACUAACAAUUUUUCCUUCAAGCCAAACAUUCUUAUUAGGAUCUUUCUUAAACCAUAUGGAUUGGCCAACUACAAAUGGGCUUUUAAACCUGCUUGUUUUAUUAUAAUUUCUAGUAUUUCUAAUCAUAGCCCUGUCAAGCUCUUGUUGUAUAUUAGCAUUCAUCUUUGGCUGUAAGUAAUGGGUAUUUACUAUUAAUUUUGUCUUCAAAUUUCUAUUUAACAUUAGCUCAGAUGGGGACAAGUUUGUACCAGAUACUGGUGAGGCCCGGUAAUUAAGUAGUGCUAAUCUAUAAUCCGUGUUAUCUUCCUGACACUUAGUUAAAAUCUUUUUUGCUAUUUGUACUCCUCUUUCCGCCAUUCCAUUGGACUGGGGAUACCUGGGGCUAGUAUACGUGAAAGCAAACCCAUUGUCACGAGCAAAGUCUCUACAUUCUUUGGAGUCAAAAGGUACAUGAUCUGAAACAAUUUCUUUAGGAAAACCAAAAUUGGAAAAUAUAUCUGUUAAGGCCUCAAUAACGUUCUUCGCACUUUUACUACGAAUGUAUUUACUGUCUAGCCAUUUAGAGUAAUAAUCGUAAACUACGAGGUAACUUUUGGUUUUGAAAUCCAUAAUGUCUGUGGCUAUCUUUGCAAAAGGCAAUGUAGGUACUUCAUGUGGGAGUAAAGGCUCCUUUAUAUUAUUAUUCUGAUGUGUCUGACAAGGGAAACAUCGUUUAACAAACUGUUCAAUAUGUGAAUCUAUAUGUGGCCAGUAAUACAAUUUUCUAGCAAGUUGUUUCAUUUUUGUCAUACCAAUGUGGCCUUCAUGUAAUGUUUUAAUAAAUGAUAAUCUUAGAUUUUUUGGAACAAUUAAUCUAUCAUUAAAGAAUACUAAAUUUUUAUCUACUGAAAGUUCACCUCUUAAUUUAUGAUAGUCAUGCAAACCACUAGGAAUAUUUUUAUUAUUAGUAGGCCAACCAUUUUU